UACGUAGGGGGCAAGCGUUUGUCCGGAUUUAUUGGGCGUAAAGAGCGUGUAGGCGGUCGUUCAAGUCGAGUGUGAAAGCCCCCGGCUCAACUGGGGAGGGUCACUCGAUACUGAUCGACUCGAAGGCAGGAGAGGGAAGUGGAAUUCCCGGUGUAGUGGUGAAAUGCGUAGAUAUCGGGAGGAACACCAGUGGCGAAGGCGACUUCCUGGCCUGUUCUUGACGCUGAGGCGCGAAAGCUAGGGGAGCAAACGGG
rnacentral:rRNA from 1 species